AUAUUAGUCAAUGCUCGCAAGAGUGAACUAGCUAACUGAAAUCAUAUAAGUGUCUUAUGUGAUGUCGUAAGGGAAAAUAAUGAUAUUACCUUACUAAUAGUGUCGUCUAAAACUGGUGCCAGAAGACUCGGUAAGGCCAGAGACACAAAUGUUAAUCGUCUUAAUCAGGCGUAAAGGGUUUGUAGGCUGCUUUGAAAAUAUUGAUUUAAUAUAGCGUAAGUAGAUCAAUAUCAAUUAAAGCUAGAAUCUAAUAGAGGAUAUUUACGAAAUAAUGCUUGGUCGAGGGCUGAUAUCCGAAGACAUCAAGUGGAGUUCCAAUGGCGUAAGCAUUUAUCCAUUAAAGAUUGACGCUGAGAAACGAAGGUGAGGAUAGGAAAUAGGAUUAGAUACCCAGAUACCCCUCUCUGUCAACGAUGAAUGGUAGUUUGUUAGUCAAUAAGACUAGUGACGAAGUUAACACGUUAACCAUUCCGCCUUGUGAGUACGACUGCAAAGUUGAAAACAAAAAAAUUAGUCGGUCUCGGAGCAAACGAAGUGAAGUAUGUUAUUUAAU
rnacentral:rRNA from 1 species